GUAGGUGGCAAGCGUUGUCCGGAAUUAUUGGGCGUAAAGCGCGCGCAGGCGGUUCUUUAAGUCUGAUGUGAAUGCCCACGGCUCAACCGUGGAGGGUCAUUGGAAACUGGAGAACUUGAGUACAGAAGAGGAAAGCGGAAUUCCACGUGUAGCGGUGAAAUGCGUAGAGAUGUGGAGGAACACCAGUGGCGAAGGCGGCUUUCUGGUCUGUAACUGACGCUGAGGCGCGAAAGCGUGGGGGGAGCAAACAGGAUUAGAUACCCUGGUAGUCCACGCCGUAAACGAUGAGUGCUAAGUGUUAGGGGGUUUCCGCCCCUUAGUGCUGCAGCUAACGCAUUAAGCACUCCGCCUGGGAGUACGGCCGCAAGGCUG
rnacentral:rRNA from 1 species